rnacentral:rRNA from 1 species
GAUGAACGCUGGCGGCGUGCCUAAUACAUGCAAGUCGAGCGAACGGACGAGAAGCUUGCUUCUCUGAUGUUAGCGGCGGACGGGUGAGUAACACGUGGAUAACCUACCUAUAAGACUGGGAUAACUUCGGGAAACCGGAGCUAAUACCGGAUAAUAUUUUGAACCGCAUGGUUCGAAAGUGAAAGACGGUCUUGCUGUCACUUAUAGAUGGAUCCGCGCUGCAUUAGCUAGUUGGUAAGGUAACGGCUUACCAAGGCAACGAUGCAUAGCCGACCUGAGAGGGUGAUCGGCCACACUGGAACUGAGGCACGGUCCAGACUCCUACGGGAGGCAGCAGUAGGGAAUCUUCCGCAAUGGGCGAAAGCCUGACGGAGCAACGCCGCGUGAGUGAUGAAGGUCUUCGGAUCGUAAAACUCUGUUAUUAGGGAAGAACAUAUGUGUAAGUAACUGUUCACAUCUUGACGGUACCUAAUCAGAAAGCCACGGCUAACUACGUG